rnacentral:rRNA from 1 species
GGUGAGUAACACGUGAGCAACCUGCCCCUGACUCUGGGAUAAGCCCGGGAAACUGGGUCUAAUACCGGAUACGACCGCCCCCGGCAUCGGGUGGUGGUGGAAAGUCUUUUCGGUUGGGGAUGGGCUCGCGGCCUAUCAGCUUGUUGGUGGGGUAGUGGCCUACCAAGGCGACGACGGGUAGCCGGCCUGAGAGGGCGACCGGCCACACUGGGACUGAGACACGGCCCAGACUCCUACGGGAGGCAGCAGUGGGGAAUAUUGCGCAAUGGGCGAAAGCCUGACGCAGCGACGCCGCGUGGGGGAUGACGGCCUUCGGGUUGUAAACCUCUUUCAGCAGGGACGAAGUUGACGUGUACCUGCAGAAGAAGCGCCGGCUAACUACGUGCCAGCAGCCGCGGUAAUACGUAGGGCGCAAGCGUUGUCCGGAAUUAUUGGGCGUAAAGAGCUCGUAGGUGGCUGGUCGCGUCUGCCGUGAAAGCCCGCAGCUUAACUGCGGGUCUGCGGUGGAUACGGGCCGGCUAGAGGUAGGUAGGGGCAAGUGGAAUUCCUGGUGUAGCGGUGAAAUGCGCAGAUAUCAGGAGGAACACCGGUGGCGAAGGCGGCUUGCUGGGCCUUACCUGACGCUGAGGAGCGAAAGCGUG